rnacentral:lncRNA from 1 species
GUAACUUCACUGUAAACUGACUUCCCUGAAGAGUGGUGGAGGACAAGGGACAGAGGCAGGAAGGGCAGACAGGCUUCACCCAGGACCCAGCAGCUUCCUCCCCUCCCCCCAAUUCACGCAGAAUUACUGACUGCACACACACCCCUUCCGUAAGUCCUGCUUCCCCUAAGAAGAAUGAAGGACAUUCUUCAGGGACUAGAAUGGGGCAGUGUUCCUACAGAUACGGCUCAGAGGACUCAGAAUCCAAGGACUCUCCUCCCAACAACUGGCUUACCCAUCUGCUGGAGGUGACCUCCUAGUGCUAUGUGUCUGGUCCUCCUCUGCCAAAUGAAUCACCUAGAGUAAGGGAAGAAGCAAGGGAGAGGCUGCAUGCUUCCUCCUCCAUGAGACUAAGAUACUGUAGCCAUACGUGGAAGCAUGUGUGUCAGACUUAUAUAUCCCAGCUUAAGGAGCCUGAAACUUGGCUUUUUCUCUGAAAUUUAAAAAUAAAUUAAAAAAAAAAUGCUUGGGUGGCUUAGUGGUUGAGCAUCUGCCUUUGGCUCCAGUCAUUAUCCUGGGGUCCUGGGAUCGAGUCCCACAUCGGGCUCCCCUCAGGGAGCCUGCUUCUUCCUCUGCCUAUGUCUCUGCCUCUCUUUGUGUGUCUCUCAUGAAUCAAUAAA